GAUGAAGAACGCAGCGAAAUGCGAUAAGUAAUGUGAAUUGCAGAAUUCAGUGAAUCAUCGAAUCUUUGAACGCACAUUGCGCCCGCCAGUAUUCUGGCGGGCAUGCCUGUUCGAGCGUCAUUACAACCCUCAGGCCCCCGGGCCUGGCGUUGGGGAUCGGCGGAGCCCCCCGUGGGCACACGCCGUCCCCCAAAUGCAGUGGCGGUCCCGCCGCAGCUUCCAUCGCGUAGUAGCUAACACCUCGCGACUGGAGAGCGGCGCGGCCACGCCGUAAAACACCCAACUCUUCUGAAGUUGACCUCGAAUCAGGUAGGAAUACCCGGUGAACUUAAGCAUAUCAAUAAGCGGAGGA
rnacentral:misc_RNA from 1 species